rnacentral:rRNA from 1 species
GUUAGGAAUAUUGGACAAUGGACGCAAGUCUGAUCCAGCCAUGCCGCGUGAGUGAUGAAGGCCUUCGGGUUGUAAAGCUCUUUAGCCGAUGAUUAUAAUGACUGUAGUCGGAAAAUAAGCCCCGGCUAACUUCGUGCCAGCAGCCGCGGUAAUACGAAGGGGGCGAGCGUUAUUCGGAAUCACUGGGCGUAAAGCGUGCGUAGGCGGUUUUGUAAGUUGGGAGUGAAAGCCCAGGGCUCAACCCUGGAAUUGCUCUCAAAACUACAAGACUUGAAUUCGGGAGAGGAUAGCGGAAUUGUCAGUGUAGCAGUGAAAUGCGUAGAUAUUGACAGGAACACCAGUGGCGUAAGCGGCUAUCUGGACCGACAUUGACGCUGAGGCACGAAAGCGUGGGGAUCAAACAGGAUUAGAUACCCCGGUAGUCC